AUUAAACAUUAAAUCCUAUUGAAUUUCACUCAACUUUAGAUCAAACCUAAUGAAAUCUUAAAGCCUAAUAAUUCCUAAAUCUUAAGUCAAAUCCUAAAAAAAUCUUAAAUUAAAUCCUAUUCCAAAUCCUAAAUCAAACCCUAAACUAAAUCCUAAUCCAAUCCUAAACCCUAAACCAAACCUUAAAUCAAAUCCUAACCAAACCCUAAUCCAAACCCUAAAUCAAAUCCUAACCAAAUCCUAAACCCUAAUCCAAACCCUAAUCCAAAUCCUAAUCCAACUCUAAACUCUAAUUCAAAUCUUAAAUCCUAAACCAAACCUUAAAUCAAACCCUAACUAAAUCCUAAUCCAAACCCUAAAUCAAACCCUAAUCAAAUCCUAAA
rnacentral:lncRNA from 1 species